rnacentral:lncRNA from 1 species
AUUUGCAGCUGUUUAGCUAAAAAAUGUUAAUCGGAAAAAGCAAAAGUGGAUGGCGUGGUGCCAGUAAGAUGGUAUCGAUAUGAUAUAGUUUCAAUUAAGUUAGUCGCAGACGAAAAAUAAAACCUGUAAACAAUUUCUCUCUAUAUUAACUUAUUCAAGUGCCAGUGAAACAAACAAUAGAAAAGAGGAAGCAUUUAAACUGUUUUCAAAACUUUUGGUUUGAAUACAAAAGACCAAGUGAAAAUGAUACUGGAAAGACUGUUUACUGUUUGACUCCUGUCCCAAUCCUACCUAGUUGGUUCAAAAAGAAAGGACCACGUUGAAAACAUGAUGGGGUUAAAAGGAGCAGCCCUUUUUGAAUUAAUAGUCGAUAUAAAUAAUAUAAUGGCAUGGUCAUCUAUUUGCAAUUACAAUUAUACAUUGGGUAACACAAAAGCUGAACGUGAUUUGGGUAUAAUGUUUCAAUCCGAUUUAAAAUGGCACUCACAAGUUGAUUCAGCAACCAGCAAAGCAAACAGAAUGUUAGGUACCAUAAA